UACGUAGGGUGCAAGCGUUGUCCGGAAUUAUUGGGCGUAAAGAGCUCGUAGGCGGUCUGUCGCGUCUGCUGUGAAAACUCAGGGCUUAACCCUGAGCUUGCAGUGGGUACGGGCAGACUAGAGUGCGGUAGGGGAGACUGGAAUUCCUGGUGUAGCGGUGAAAUGCGUAGAUAUCAGGAGGAACACCAGCGGCGAAGGCGGCGCUCUGGGCCGGAACUGACGCUGAGGAGCGAAAGCAUGGGGAGCGAACAGG
rnacentral:rRNA from 1 species